ACGUAGGUGGCAAGCGUUAUCCGGAUUUACUGGGUGUAAAGGGCGUGUAGGCGGGGCAGCAAGUCAGGCGUGAAAACCAUGGGCUCAACUCAUGGCCUGCGUUUGAAACUGUUGUUCUUGAGUGAUGGAGAGGCAGGCGGAAUUCCUAGUGUAGCGGUGAAAUGCGUAGAUAUUAGGAGGAACACCAGUGGCGAAGGCGGCCUGCUGGACAUUAACUGACGCUGAGGCGCGAAAGCGUGGGGAGCAAACAG
rnacentral:rRNA from 1 species